CAACAACAAACCCAGUGUAUUCCCACUUAGUAGGGUCUGGGGGGGUAAGAUGUACGCAGUCCAUACCUCUACCUCUGAUGAAGUAGAAAGGCUGUUUCCGAAAGACCCCCGGCUCAAGGCACAAGAUAUCACACAAACACAUAGUAAAGCACAGAAGCAGAUGACAUAACAUAAAUACGGCACCCAUAAGGAAUAUAAAACAGAGGAAAGCAGAGGAAAGCACACAGAUUCGUAAUAAGCAUGGAACACUGAAUACGGAAUCAUAACGGGAAUAAAAAAUAAAAAAAACCCCACCAAGUAAUUCCCAACACUAGCGACCCAAUCUGGCCCUACUCUUCUGCCGUAAUUCGCGUCUUCCAGACCUUCCUAUCUAGGGUCAUGUCCUCGGUGAGCUGUAACUGUUCCAUGUCCCGCCUAAUCACCUCACCCCAGUACUUCUUCGGCCUACCCCUACCUCGCCUAAAACCAUCCAACGCUAGCCUCUCACACCUACGGACCGGGGCAUCCAUGCCCCUCCUCUUCACGUGUCCGAACCAUCUCAAUCGUGCUUCCCGCAUCUUACACUCCACUGAU
rnacentral:lncRNA from 1 species